rnacentral:lncRNA from 1 species
AACAGGAAAUCUCUAAAUAUAGAUAUGAAUAAUCUAUAACACUGACAACACUAUUAGUGUUGGGACGUUAGCUUACUCGAAUCUAUUUUCUAAUUUAGGUGAUGGUAUUACCUUCCACUGAAGCUCAACCCACCGAUCUAGGAUAGGGAUAAAAGUAAGCCAAAAGGUUAACUACUUAACUUAGAAACAAAGGAGAAGAACUAGGUGUCAAUCUCAGAACCAUUUGCAGCCGUCAAGGACCUGCAAUUCUGAAUAAAAACUUCCAUGACAUUCAAGAAGAUGAAGAGAAAACAAAGAGGCAAC